rnacentral:rRNA from 1 species
UACGGGGGGGGCAAGCGUUGUUCGGAAUUACUGGGCGUAAAGGGUUUGUAGGUGGCUUGCUAAGUCAGACGUGAAAUCCCUCAGCUUAACUGGGGAACUGCGUCUGAUACUGGAUGGCUUGAGUUUGGGAGAGGGAUGCGGAAUUCCAGGUGUAGCGGUGAAAUGCGUAGAUAUGUGGAGGAAUACCGGUGGCGAAGGCGGCCUCCUGGCUUAAUACUGACACUGAGGUGCGAAAGCGUGGGGAGCAAACAGGG